rnacentral:rRNA from 1 species
AAGUCUGGUGCCAGCAGCCGCGGUAAUUCCAGCUCCAAUAGCGUAUAUUAAAAUUGUUGCGUCUAAAAAGCUCGUAGUUUGAAAACUUGCCUUGACUUACAACAGGCCUGUAUGGGCCACCGUUUGUUGAGUGCAAAUAUGGAUGACUGUUUUUGCCGGCUUUACUGCUCGGCUUAUAAGAGUUAUCAAAUAUCACUUUGAUUAAAUUAGAGUGCUCAAAGCAAGUGUGUUACUUGGAUAUAAAUGCAUGGAAUGAUGGAAUAUGUUGUUGUUCUAUUUGUCGGUUUUUGAACGAUGAAAUGAUUGAAAGGAACCGUUGGGGGCAUUCGUAUUGUUGUGAGAGAGGUGAAAUUCUUAGACCACAGCAAGACGAACUACUGCGAAAGCAUUUGCCAAGAAUGUUUUCAUUGAUCAAGAACGAAAGUUAGAGGUUCGAAGGCGAUCAGAUACCGCCCUAGUUCUAACCAUAA